GCCAGGUGUGGUGGCGGGUGCCUGUAAUCCCAGCUACUCGGGAGGCUGAGGCAGGAGAAUCACUUGAACCCAGGAGGCAGAGGUUGCAGUGAGCCAAAAUUGUGCCACUGCACUCCAGCCUGGGUGACAGAGUGAGACUCUGUCUCAA
rnacentral:SRP_RNA from 1 species